rnacentral:siRNA from 1 species
CUGAAAUAGGUGGUACGUUUG